UCAAUCUUGCUUAGGGUUUUCAUUCUCAGAUUUGCUUUAAUUUUGUUGUCCUACCGUUUGAAAACAUGAUUUCGAAGCGCUUUCCAUUUUUUUACUAUCUUUUCUGCUUGAUUUGAUGAUGAAAGAAAUGGACGGAUCUGAAACAUGAUCUUCAACGGCAGCAAGAUCGGAAACAUGAUCUUCAACGGUAACAAGCUUGGCGGUGAAGUUUGAAAUAUACGAAGCAUGAUCUUCAACGGUAACAAGAUCCGAAACAUGAUCUUCAGCGGUAACAAGCUUGGCGGUGAAGUUUAAAAUAUCCGAAGCAUGAUCUUCAACGGUAACAAGCUUGGCGGUGAAGCUCCAACGGCUAGAUUUUGGGAUACCCACUCCCAUCUAUCUAUAAAUAAGCAUCACCGAGAAUGGGAUUUCUCAACCCUUUGAGAAAUCCCAUUUCCAACUCCAGGGAAUGGAGAGCUCGGAAGAUGCUAGAAAUUUCUCUAAUGAAACCCAUCUCUAAUGGGGAUCAAUGGUGGGAAUUAAUCAGGGAGGAUGAUUUGCCAAGUCUCGACCAAGAGACAGAUCCUGAUCUGCUGCUGCUGCUCCUCAAAUACAAGGUACAUAUCUUGUUGGAGAUGGUGAAGCUUUUCACCAAUGGCAGUCCGAAAUAGCUCGUUUUGGUAUUUAGGAUAUAUAGGAGAUUAGUAUGAUUUAUCCUAAACUUAAGGAUAAUUUAGUUUUGUAAUUUUCCCUAUUUUCUUUAUAUAGAAAUUCAACUUUGUUAAAUGGAUAAGGAAUGCUCUGUUUCUCUUUCUUAA